ACACACAGUUGUAAUCUAGCCUCUCCUAGGCUUUGUCUGUGGUACCGCUUGGAAAUUUGCUAGCCAGACAUAGCCUGACAGAGGUUAGGUGAAAUCUGAAAAG
rnacentral:pre_miRNA from 2 species